rnacentral:lncRNA from 1 species
ACACAUCUCACUCCACACAUCUCCUCACUCCACACAUCUCACUCCACACAUCUCCUCACUCCACACAUCUCCUCACUCCACACAUCUCACUCCACACAUCUCCUCACUCCACACAUCUCCUCACUCCACACAUCUGACUCCACACAUCUCACUCCACGCAUCUCCUCACUCCACGCAUCUCACUCCACACAUCAUACUCCACACAUCUCACUCCACACAUCUCACUCCACACAUCUCACUCCACACAUCUCCUCACUCCACACAUCUCCUCACUCCACACAUCUCCUCUCUCCACGCAUCUCACUCCACACAUCUCCUCUCUCCACACAUCUCACUCCACACAUCUCCUCACUCCACAGAAAUCCUCACUGUACGCAUCUCCUUAUCCCACGCCUCCCCUCGUCCCACGUCCCGUGGUCACACUCAUGUCCUCACUGCACACCUCCUGCUGCCUUCUGCAAGGUUCGACUGCUGACUUUGCUUCCCACAGCAUUUCCACUGCUUGACACAGGUGAAUG